GUCAGACCCAUAUGAUAUCGUGAAGAUGCACGUACACCCGUAGUCUAAUAUAUAUAUAUAUAUAUAUCCAAAUUGCAAUCACAAUUAGUUUUGCACUAAAUAAACCUCAUAACUUCUCUUUCAUCUAACUUAUUAUAUAAAUCUUAUCCUAACUUAGGCUAUUUUCCUCCUACACCAAUCUUUCUUCUCUCAAUUUUCACUUAUCUUGUUUUUGAUCUACACAAUUAGGCAAUUUUCAACUCUUCUCAUCAAAGAAUUAUUGGGAUAAAUUUCAAAAAAAAAAUUAUAAAAAUGAACCAUACUAGGGAGAAUACACAUGCAAAAGUUGACUUGAAGCUAAACUUAUCACUACCAAGGGCAACUUUUCCAAGAAAUGAACUUUCACCACCAAGAAGAUCAUCAUCAUCAUCAUCAUCUUCUUCUUCAAUGGAGAUCAUAAGAUCACCAACCACCUCUUGUGUUUCUCAAGAACCAAGCCCUAUCGACGAUCGAUCAUCUUCCGAUUGCCCUAGUAGCUCAGAGACAACCUCAAUGAUGCUUGUGGGAUGCCCUAGAUGUUUGAUGUAUGUUAUGUUAUCAGUAAAUAAACCAAAAUGCCCUAAAUGCAAGAGCACUGUUUUGCUUGAUUUAUUCCAUGAAGAAAGAAUCAAGAACUCAAAGUAA